CCUACGGGAGGCAGCAGUGAGGAAUAUUGGUCAAUGGGCGAGAGCCUGAACCAGCCAAGUCGCGUGAGGGAAGACGGUCCUAUGGAUUGUAAACCUCUUUUGCCGGGGAUCAGUGCCCAGCUCGCGAGCUGGGAGGGAGCGUACCCGGAGAAAAAGCAUCGGCUAACACCGUGCCAGCAGCCGCGGUAAUACGGAGGAUGCGAGCGUUAGCCGGAUGUAUUGGGUUAAAAGGGUGCGUAGGCGGGCCUUCAGGCCGGCGGUAAAAUUGCGGGGCCACACCCCGCCGAGCCGUCGGAACCGGGGGCCUUGAGUACCGGAGAGGUACGCGGAAUGCGUGGUGUAGCGGGGAAAUGCAUAGAUAUCACGCAGAACCCCGAUUGCGAAGGCAGCGUACCGGCCGGUCACUGACGCUGAGGCACGAAAGCGCGGGUAGCGAACAGGAUUAGAUACCCUUGUAGUC
rnacentral:rRNA from 1 species